rnacentral:rRNA from 1 species
UCUGGCAGGAUCAACCAGUAGUCAUAUGCUUGUCUCAAAGAUUAAGCCAUGCAUGUCUAAGUACGGCUCUAGUACGGUGAAACUGCGAAUGGCUCAUUAAAUCAGUUUUGGUUCAUUUGAUCGUGAAAGUUACAUGGAUAACUGUUGUAAUUCAAGAGCUAAUACACGCUAAGAGUGUCGCUCUCUGGGCGGCGCGCUUUUAUCAGACCAAAACCAAUCACCUUCGGGUGUUCAUUGUGGUGAGUCUGGAUAAACUAGCUGAUCGCAUGGUCUCGAACCGGCGAUGGAUCAUUCAAGUGUCUGACCUAUCAACUGUCGAUGGUAGCGUAUUGGGCUACCAUGGUUGUAACGGGUAACGGAGAAUUAGGGUUUGGUUCCGGAGAGGGAGUCUGAGAAACGGCUACCACAUCUAAGGAAGGCAGCAGGCGCGCAAAUUACCCAUUCCCGACUCGGGGAGGUAGUGACGAAAAAUAACAAUUCAAGACUCUUAACGAGGCCUUGAAGUUGGAAUGAGUACACUUUAAAACUUUUAACGAGUAACUAUUGGAGGGCAAGUCUGGUGCCAGCAGCCGCGGUAAUUCCAGCUCCAAUAGCGUAUACUAAAGUUGUUGCGGUUAAAAAGCUCGUAGUUGGAUCUUGGAAUGUGUUCAAGCGGGUCAGCUUCUGGCUGUGCGCUGCUUGACGUGUUCUUCUAUUUGGUUUUGGUGCGGUGCGCUUAACUGCGUGUCGCUCCCGGCCGAAACGUUUACCUUGAAAAAAUUAGAGUGUUCAAAGCAGACCUGUUUGAGUCUGAAUAUUCGUGCAUGGAAUAAUGAAAUAUGAAUUCGGUUCUAUUUUGUUGGUUUUCGGAACUCGAGUUAAUGAUCAAGAGGGACAGACGGGGGCAUUCGUACUCUGCCGUUAGAGGUGAAAUUCUUGGAUCGGCGGAAGACGCGCAACUGCGAAAGCAUUUGCCAAGAAUGUUUUCUUUAAUCAAGAACGAUAGUCGGAGGUUCGAAGACGAUCAGAUACCGUCCUAGUUUCGACUGUAAACUAUGCCAGCUAACGAUCAGACAGAGUUCUCUACGACUUGUCUGGCAGUUUCCGGGAAACCAAAGCGUUUGGGUUCCGGGGGAAGUAUGGUUGCAAAGCUGAAACUUAAAGGAAUUGACGGAAGGGCACCACCAGGAGUGGAGCCUGCGGC